rnacentral:rRNA from 1 species
AUUGAACGCUAGCGGGAUGCUUUACACAUGCAAGUCGAACGCGUGGGGGACGGGUGAGUAAUAUAUCGGAACGUGCCCAGUAGCGGGGGAUCACUACUCGAAAGAGUGGCUAAUCCCACAAAAUAUUGGAGCGCCAGAUAUGGGAUUAGCUAGGUGGUGGUGUAAAGGCUCACCAAGGCAACGAUCCGUAGCUGGUUUGAGAGGACGACCAGCCACACUGGGACUGAGACACGGCCCAGACUCCUACGGGAGGCAGCAGUGGGGAAUUUUGGACAAUGGGGGAAACCCUGAUCCAGCCAUGCCGCGUGUAUGAGAAGGCCUUAGGGUUGUAAAGUACUUUUGGCAGAGAAGCGGUAUCGACAGAAGAAGCACCGGCUAACUCCGUGCCAGCAGCCGCGGUAAUUC